rnacentral:rRNA from 1 species
AGUGAACGCUGGCGGUAGGCCUAACACAUGCAAGUCGAACGGCAGCACAGUAAGAGCUUGCUCUUACGGGUGGCGAGUGGCGGACGGGUGAGGAAUACGUCGGAAUCUACUUUUUCGUGGGGGAUAACGUAGGGACACUUACGCUAAUACCGCAUACGACCUACGGGUGAAAGCAGGGGAUCUUCGGACCUUGCGCGAUUGAAUGAGCCGAUGUCGGAUUAGCUAGUUGGCGGGGUAAAGGCCCACCAAGGCGACGAUCCGUAGCUGGUCUGAGAGGAUGAUCAGCCACACUGGAACUGAGACACGGUCCAGACUCCUACGGGAGGCAGCAGUGGGGAAUAUUGGACAAUGGGCGCAAGCCUGAUCCAGCCAUACCGCGUGGGUGAAGAAGGCCUUCGGGUUGUAAAGCCCUUUUGUUGGGAAAGAAAAGCAGCAGGUUAAUACCCCGCUGUUCUGACGGUACCCAAAGAAUAAGCACCGGCUAACUUCGUG